CCCUAGUAACUGCGAGUGAAGCGGGAAAAGCUCAAAUUUAAAAUCUGGCAGUCCUUGUGGCUGUCCGAGUUGUAAUCUAGAGAAGUGUUAUCCGCGCUGGACCGUGUACAAGUCUCCUGGAAUGGAGCGUCAUAGAGGGUGAGAAUCCCGUCUUUGACACGGACUGCCAGGGCUUUGUGAUGCGCUCUCAAAGAGUCGAGUUGUUUGGGAAUGCAGCUCAAAAUGGGUGGUAAAUUCCAUCUAAAGCUAAAUAUUGGCGAGAGACCGAUAGCGAACAAGUACCGUGAGGGAAAGAUGAAAAGAACUUUGGAAAGAGAGUUAAACAGUACGUGAAAUUGUUGAAAGGGAAACGCUUGAAGUCAGUCGCAUUGGCUAGGGAUCAACCUUGCUUUUUUGCUGGGCGUAUUUUCUGGUUGAUGGGUCAGCAUCAAUUUUGACUGUUGGAUAAAGGUUAAGGAAAUGUGGCAUCUCCGGAUGUGUUAUAGUCCUUGAUUGUAUACAACAGUUGGGAUUGAGGAACUCAGCACGCCGCAAGGCUGGGUGUUUUACACUACAUACGUGCUUAGGAUGCUGGCAUAAUGGCUUUAAUCGACCCGUCUUGAAACACGGACCAAGGAGUCUAACAUGCCUGCGAGUAUUUGGGUGGAAAACCCGGAUGCGCAAUGAAAGUGAUAGUUGAGAUCCCUGUCGUGGGGAGCAUCGACGCCCGGACUUGAAGUUUACUGACGGUUCCGCGGUAGAGCAUGUAUGUUGGGACCCGAAAGAUGGUGAACUAUGCCUGAAUAGGGUGAAGCCAGAGGAAACUCUGGUGGAGGCUCGUAGCGAUUCUGACGUGCAAAUCGAUCGUCAAAUUUGGGUAUAGGGGCGAAAGACUAAUCGAACCAUCUAGUAGCUGG
rnacentral:rRNA from 1 species